rnacentral:rRNA from 1 species
UACGAAGGGUGCAAGCGUUAAUCGGAAUUACUGGGCGUAAAGCGUGCGCAGGCGGUUGCGCAAGACAGAUGUGAAAUCCCCGGGCUUAACCUGGGAAUGGCAUUUGUGACUGCACGGCUAGAGUGUGUCAGAGGGGGGUAGAAUUCCACGUGUAGCAGUGAAAUGCGUAGAUAUGUGGAGGAAUACCGAUGGCGAAGGCAGCCCCCUGGGAUAACACUGACGCUCAUGCACGAAAGCGUGGGGAGCAAACAGG